CUUAUGGUUCUAAUCUAAGAAACAGUUAAUUGGAAAUUUAAAACAUAAAAUCUAGGAUCACUUUUCUUGUUAUGAUGUUCUGCCUCAGGAAACAUUGGAAGAAAGACAAGUUUGCAAAUCUCUAAUUUAAACCAAACCUCUCCAGUUUUACAGAUCAGAAAACCAGACCCAGAGAGGAGCUACUUUUCCCUGGACGAGCACAGACUGGAGACAGAUCCCUUGUGUUUUAAUCCUGACUUGCCACUUGGCAAUAAGAAGACCUCAAGCCAGCUCCUCUACCUCUCUCUGCCUCAGCAUCCUCAUUUAUGAAUACUAAGAUUUGAAUAAAACUAUGAGCAAGAAAGAGUUCACAGUUUUAGUAAUGAGCUUCAUA